UCCCCCUUCAUCUUAUUUUCUCUACACGGCACAACAGUCAACAACCAGUAAACAACAAUAAAAAUGGCAUCAAUCCCAAAAACCCUACCACCCCUUCCAUUUACUGAUUUACCCUCAUGUAUAGCGGCUAAAAAAUCAAAUUCUUUCAUUAUCUUCAAUCUAUGCUCACCAUUUUGGCAAACUAUAAACUCUCAUUUUUGAAUAACAGAGGCAACAUUUAUUUCUCCACAUUUUUCGUGUACAAAAGGCCAUAAAUGGUCUUUGUCUCACCUUGGAUUCCAAAAUUCGGAUUUGAAAUUCAUUUUUUCAAAUUCAAAAUCUUAAUUUUUCCUCCCAAAUUUUUCCUAUUAAUAGACAUUGAGGGAUAGAGGUUGAAAAGAGAGAAUUCUUUGGGAAUAAAGUGAGAAUUCAGGAGGAGCGAUUCUCUAAUUUCACGUAAUCGAAGAAUUCGAGAAGAAACGCACUUGUAAAGUUAAUUCCGACAAAAAAAGAAAGGUAAAACUUCAACGAUUCGGGAUUGAAAUUUUGAUAAAAUUUGGUUCAUUUAAAGCUCGUUUAUCUCAUCUGCUGCCCGAAAAAAAGGAAGCUUUGUGAGCUGAAUAUGAUGAUAUUUUGAUGUUUAAAAGGCUGAAAAUCCAUGAAAAAUACACCACAAGUUAAGGGAUGAAAGAUUGGAGGACCAACACUUAAUCAAAUCCGUGGAAGCAACUUCCAGAAGGUCAAGGCGAUUAGCCCGCGGAACCCCACUUGGAGCUGAGAUAUAGAUAUGGUGCAGCCUCACCUAGAGUGGCGCUUUACCCAGGGCACAACCUCACCUAGAGCGGGGCUCAACUCAGGGCGGCGCCCCCUCUACUCCCUUGCUCACAAAUUGAUGGAAUUCGACUCCUACACGGCUUGGACUGACUUUGUGUUAUAUAUACAAUAUUGUGCACAUUUUUUUCAGAUCUUGGGACGUAUUACAACCUUGUGAUUAUGAGUAUGACUACGUGUGGCUAAACACCCUUUUUCUGGGGUUAAAGCCAAGAA